CAUAGCUUAAACACACCCUCAACAUCAAUACCACCAUCCCAACAAAACCCUUCUCCAGUAUCAAGCAAUUCUAUAGAGAUAUAGAAAAACUUAUGCUAGAACUAGUAACAAGAAAUAGACCUUCUCUCCAAUAUAAGUGUACAUCAAAAUGGACACACCACUGAUAACUAACGCCACUGAACCCAUAGUAGCAACCCACCAAGAAAACCCUACUAACCCCAACGUUAACCUAACACUAGAGUAUUUUGAGAAAGAUUAAAAAAAAGGGAAGGAACUCGGCAAAUAUUAACCUCGCCUGUUUACCAAAAACAUCGCCUCUUGAGUUAUAUAAGAGGUCCAGCCUGCCCAGUGACCAUGUUGA
rnacentral:rRNA from 1 species